rnacentral:tRNA from 2 species
GCGGAUGUGGCGGAAUUGGCAGACGCGCUGGAUUUAGGUUCCAGUGCCGCAAGGCGUGAAGGUUCAAGUCCUUUCAUCCGCA